GAUGAAGAACGCAGCGAAAUGCGAUAAGUAAUGUGAAUUGCAGAAUUCAGUGAAUCAUCGAAUCUUUGAACGCACAUUGCGCCCCUUGGUAUUCCGAGGGGCAUGCCUGUUCGAGCGUCAUUAUAACCCCUCAAGCUCAGCUUGGUGUUGGGGCCUGCCGCACGGGCAGCCCUUAAAAUCAGUGGCGGUGCCAUCUGGCUCUAAGCGUAGUAAUUCUUCUCGCUAUGGAGUUCCGGUGGAUGCUUGCCAUUAACCCCCAAUUUUCUAUGGUUGACCUCGGAUCAGGUAGGGAUACCCGCUGAACUUAAGCAUAUCAAUAAGCGGAGGA
rnacentral:misc_RNA from 1 species